CCCCGCUACAGACGAUCGGGCGGAGGAGCGAGAGAAUAUACCGACCGAUACAGAAAAUCAGGCGGAGGAACCAUCCAGAGCUCCUCCUCUCAGGAGACUGAGAGCCCGACGGCGACUUCAUAAGAGGAGGAUCCUCGGAGACCUCAGAUUCAUGUACGCCAUAACCGUCCGUGCAUAUGCAUCAAUAUAUCGACACAAGGAUCUGUAAAAGGGAUGCAAAGUAAAAGCAUACACAUGUAAAAGUCUGUGAAUUAAGAAAUAAAGAAAAUCAUGUCGGAA